AGAGUUUGAUCAUGGCUCAGAGUGAACGCUGGCGGCAGGCCUAACACAUGCAAGUCGAACGGCAGCACAGCAGUAGCAAUACUGUGGGUGGCGAGUGGCGGACGGGUGAGGAAUACAUGGGAAUCUACCCUGUCGUGGGGGAUAACGUAGGGAAACUUACGCUAAUACCGCAUACGACCGAGAGGUGAAAGCGGCGGACCGCAAGGCGUCGCGCGACUGGAUGAGCCCAUGUCGGAUUAGCUAGUUGGCGGGGUAAAGGCCCACCAAGGCGACGAUCCGUAGCUGGUCUGAGAGGAUGAUCAGCCACACUGGAACUGAGACACGGUCCAGACUCCUACGGGAGGCAGCAGUGGGGAAUAUUGGACAAUGGGCGCAAGCCUGAUCCAGCCAUGCCGCGUGGGUGAAGAAGGCCUUCGGGUUGUAAAGCCCUUUUGUCCGGAAAGAAAAACUUCGGGUUAAUACCCCGGGGUCCUGACGGUACCGGAAGAAUAAGCACCGGCUAACUUCGUGCCAGCAGCCGCGGUAAUAC
rnacentral:rRNA from 1 species